CUACCCAAAACAAGUUUUAUAGAGUAGCACGUUUCCCUCGGGUAAUAGGAUGCCUAGACGGAACACACGUUAAAAUUCGAUCUCCAGGAGGGGAGGAUAGUGAAGUCUACAGAAACCGCAAGUCAUAUUUUUCAAUAAAUGUGCAACUUGUGUCAUGUGUGAUAGUGACUUAAAAAUUAGUAACAUUGUGGCCAGAUGGCCCGGUUCGGCACAUGAUGCUACUAUUUUUAACAAUAGUCGCUUAAAGACACUAUUUGAAGCUGGACACUUUAGAUCUGCUAUUAUGCUUGGCGAUAGUGGAUAUGGCUUAAAGCAAUAUUUACUAACACCACUUUUAAAUCCAAUAACUCGACCACAACAAUUAUAUAACGA